ACAGCAGAAGAAAAGGAGAAUAUAUGGGAUGUGCUGUUUUUUUUCAAAAAAACAAUGUACGUCUCCUAGUCACUGACACCAACAAAUUCUCAUACGAGUAUAUACACCAAAGCACCACCACCCAUAUGCUAUCCACGCCCACAGAGCGCCCAAAAGUCAGGUGAUCACGAACACCACCAUAAACUGGCAAAGCCACCUUCCACGACGCUGCUAGUCCCUUCUCCGAUUGAAGUUCAGCCAAGCAUGGCAGCGAACAAGGCAGAUGCAGAAACCUUUUGAAGAAGCAACAUGUGCUUUAAAGAUUUGUGAUUGGCAAUACUAUGAACAGUUUAGAUGUGGUUGACUUUGGAAGCGUAGAUGGUACUGCCAUUACACAUCCAAAGAGGAGAUGGCUACCGAGGGGGGUGAUACCCCUGGGUUGGAACAUUGAUGAUGUGCCCUUGGUGGGUUAGAUACCAACUACAACUAUACAUCAGAAAGAGGAGACAGUUGAGAAGAUUGUCCCUGCUAGGCAGGUAGGGUUGAAUGUUUGAGCAGAGGUCUGCUGUCCCACUGCUGGUAAAGGGAUUUAGCAUACCACCUUCUUCAAGGGGACCUCGCAGUCCUCUUAUUGAGCACAUUGAUAUUGUGAUCAAUUCAGAUCAACAGCAGAUCCUUAUUGAGGCAACUUCCCUCCCCAGGUGUCUUACACAUCCACUUUGGAUGGGACUGGGAUUUCUGAGGUGCCUCCAGGUGGAGAUGCGAGGGGCUAUUCCACUGUUUUCUUGUGCUGGAGUGUUAUGAUUGUUGCCUUCGCAGGGUUCAUGUAAAGGAUGGUGAGUUCUGGAGUGGUGUUCCUGUCCCUGAACCUCGUUAGGUUGUUUUUAUUCCUGACUUACCUGGAGAGGCCCGGGCUAUUGGUUGAGUGUAGGGAUCUGGGUUUCGGAAUUGAUUCUCUAGCGAAUGGGCUGGGGAGAUUUAGGAAGGUGUUGGAGUCCUUUGAUCUGGGCAGGAGGAUUGAUGAGCUCAAGGAGCAGAAGGCUACCAUUAUAGUGGGGGAAUCCGACAUUGAGGGAGAGUUGUGGUGGUAUGUCAGUAGUAUUGACAAGUUGAUGUCUCGGAGCCUUGUUUCUUGGUAGGACCUUUGGUAAAACUACUUGUUGGACUAUCUAUCAGUUUGUGCGACAAUUUUUUGCUUUAUGGGGUCAUAUAAUGCUCUGUAGUAGCUGUUGAUAUUUUCUCAAUCCAAAUCAUUCAAGCUGCUGUAUCUGUUUCUCAGUAUAUAUACUUCCCUGAUGUGGUUUUCUCACCGGUCCCUUCCAUAGGGUCAUGGCCAGUCGCCAGAUGCACAAACCUUUUGCUGAAACCAUGUGCUUAAAAGAUAGUUGAGACCAGAGAACGUAAUCAAGAGAACUGGUUGAUGUUCUUCAGAGAGUGUCAUCCAAUCACAAACUUUGAACCUUUGAGCCACUGUUUUGCCACAAAAGAGCGUGCACUUUUGACAGAUCUCAGUUUUACUGUUUUUUUUGCCAUUUCAAGGACUUGUAUGCUGGGACCUUCUUUCAAUUACAGGGCAAGAUUUUUGGAAAUUCAUUUCGAGAAUUUCUAAUUAUGAAGAUAA